CAAUCCUUCGAUCACACAACAUUCCAGAUAGGCCAUGGGCAUGAAAACAUAUUAAACCCAAAUAUCUAUCCAUAUGUAUCUCGAUCUGAUGCUAAUGACUCGGUUGAUGAAUCAAUAAAAAUUAUUUUUACUGUUCAUUCCUGCUCUGAUCAGAGACUCUCAGAGUCAUCAUCCUAUGAGAUCAUAUAAGAUGUUCUCUCCUCCUACAAAGAGUCAUCGAUUCUUUGUUGACCACUCCCAACCUCCAUGCACACUUCAUCAUAUCCAGAAUAUUCCACACACAUCUCAAAGUAGCAAGCUAGAAAAUAAACCAAAGUA
rnacentral:lncRNA from 1 species